UUUGGUGCUCAUGAUGACUUAAGACUUUUUUCCCCAUCAGAGCGGAAGUGUUGAACUCUUUGCUUGUUAGCCAGAAUUUGUCUGACUGCACCGAU